UCAUCGGUUGGAACAACUCUUCCGUUAAACUCCAAGCUCACCUCUGGCUUGGGACUGGGAUGACUUUGCAGCCUCAUAAUCAAGGGAACCCUUGUGCAGAUCCCUUGCCCUCUAGGUAGGCUAAUGCCAGCCAGUGACUCUAGAACGCUAGACUUUCCUGAAGAUUGAUCUCAACAACAACAAUUGUUGGAAGCUGGAUUCCUUCUUGCAUGACUUUAAGGUUUCGUAGCCUGUCUAUGCAGUCCAGCAAUGGCCUAAUGCGUUCAUUGUAGGAUGAUACGAUGGGGCUAGCGUUUCUUCUUGAACAGCUUGAACGAGGUCUUUGAUCAUGGACAGCUCGAACGAGUUCUUUGGUGAUUUCUUCAGAAACAACAUUGGAGCCGCUGCUUAGUACACUCAUGUGUAAUUUCUCGUGGUUGUUGGUUUUGAGUGUUUCUAUUAUAUUGUCGCUGGUAAAAAGAUUCGGAACUUGGAAGGGAAAAAGGAGAUGAAAGAGCAAGAGAUUUUCAGAUUUGGUGAUAGGAAAUUUGGAUUUGUGGAUACUUUAUAGGUGAUUUUUUAUGUUGAUCUCAGUACCAUCUCUUUUCUUGGAUGAAAUACGGUGUUCCAAGAAUUGAGAUAGAAAUACGAAAUCUAUGAAAUUAGUUAAAUGAUCAACCAAGCAAAACAAUAGCAUCUUUUGAAGUAGUUAACUCCAAGGUAAAUCAGCACAGAUUCCUUAACUCGCUCUGCAGGGUGGAAAGCUGAUGCUUGACUUGCUUUUCUCUCAUCCUUUGCCAACUGGAAAGUAAAAGUUCAUCGAAAAUCAGCUAUAACCCUUCGAUUGAUCAGCAGACUAAUUAGCAGUGUAAGAUAGAAUUACUUUGUUAUAUCAUACCCAAAUUAAUCGUGACAAUCAAAAGACUUGGGAGGUCAUUAAAUUGUUCUUUUCCUUCAACUUUACGUCAUACUUGUGCUUCACCAUUUGCGUCAUGGGAUCCAAUAAUGAGUGUACUAUUGUUAAUUUAUUAUUCCUUCUGGUGGAAAUUGGAAACAAGCUAGUGGGAUCAAUUGACUUCUUUUCUUUGGCCAUGACAAAGGAAAAUGUUCGAUCUUACAAAGGUAGGCAAACAUGGAAAAAGCUUGCACCCCCGCUCUUUCGCCUCACAAUCCAAGUAGCUAUCACCAUUUAGGGGGAAUUAUUUGACAGUCUUUUGUGUUUGAAUUGAUUUUUCUGAAUUUUGUAAAAAAAUUAUUGUAACGAUUUGAUAAGUGUGAAAUAAAAAGGUGAUUCGGAAUUGUGUUUACGGAACCCCACAAUCCAAAGUAGCUAUCACGUUUAGGGUGAAUUAUUUGACAGUCAUUUUGUGUUUGGAUUGCAUUUUUCUGAAUUUUUUAUAGAAAAAUUAUUGUAACGAUUUGAUAUAUAUGAGAUAAAAGGUGAUUCGGAAUUGUGUUCACGGAAAACAUUCUAAUGCAAUCAUUCACGGAAUUGUGUUCACGCAAUUUUUCCAAACAUUCUAAUGCAAUUAAGAUUAAUGUGAAGAAUCCUAUUCCUAGGCUGUAAGAACUAAGAAGACCGAAAAACAUAAUGCAUAAAAUAGUCAAUUGUUUUCUAACGCAAUUAUAUUGUAUUCUUUACGUUAGCUGAAGAAUGAAGAGGUUUUUAACAUUAACAAUUGUGCUUAUUUCUUCUUUCUUCACGAGUCUUUUAACUUUCACUUAUGAUAAGUUAGAGGAAAAAUGGCCAAUUUUGUCCUUAAUUUUUUUAAGGGUGCUAAUUUAGUCCCUAACUUUUAUUUCUGAUCAAUAUGAUAUUUGAACUUAUGGUGCAUCACUAGUUAAAAACGAUCUUACUUCUCAUUGGCUAAUUAAAUAGUGGUAUUACGAGAACAUUACUCACGAGAAUGUAAUAAAACAAGCAAAUCGUCUAAAAAAUCACUAAUAAAACUUUUAAAUUGUGUAAAAAAAUCACCAAAUAAACUUUUUAAAGUUUAAUCUUGUGACUUUUUACUAUACAGUUUCGUAAGUGACGUUUUCAAAAUAUCUUCUUUAGUUGGUCAAUUAGGAGUCAGAUUGGUUUUAGGUGGCACCGCCACCAUGAAGGUCCUUAAUUGGAACUGCAAUUAAGUUCGCAUAUUAAAUUGAUUAGAAAUAAAAGUUAGAAACUAGACGGCACUAGUAAAAAGUUUAGAACGAAAUUGGUCAUUUUCCCUAAAAGAUAAGACUGGAACAUAUUUGUUGAAUCAGUCCAGCUAUGUGUAAGUUUCAAGUCUUCCCAAGUCUUCAAUAGUAAUGUGAUUACGACUAAAUAGCAUAGUACCUAUAUCUAGUGGUUUUCUUGAUUGAAUUAACUCAGAGAAAGAAAACUAUAAUAUUGUCUCAUUACAUUAACUACAUGGCUAGUCUAGCCAAGCAUGGCAAAUUACAGAUCUUCGGGCAAACUUUGGCAAUUUAAAAGGUCUUGUUUAUAUUGAAGAUUUUUUGUAGAAAAAUUUUUACGUUUUUCGUGAUUUCAUUUUUCGGAUACUUUUUUAUCUCGCAUACAUCAAAUUGUUAUAGUAUAUUUUUUGCUUAAAAUUCAAAAAAUGAUGAUCUAAACGAGACCUAAGUAUGUGUAUAGACUAAUUGGCUAACUUCUUCAAAAUUUUUGUGUACUUGAUUUGGCGGAUUUAUUAUUCUAUCAAAGAGAUUCGAUGAACACGAUUAUGAUGUGCAUGGACACGAAGCUCACGAUCAAGGCUAAAUAAUCAGUUAAUUGCAACGAAAAUGUAGAUGUCUCUACAAUAUAUAUACACUAUUUCUUUACAACAUUAAUAUUCCCUUGAGUCCUACCCUUGUGUAAUACUAGUAUUAGUUUUGUGAACCAAUGUAAAAAAAAAAAAAACAAUAUAGUCAAAUAUCCUCUAGUAUUAGUUUCGCUUGAACAAUAGUCGUUUCUCUUACCCAAACAAGAGGACUAUAUAAUCCUAAUAUUCUAACAAUGAGAAAUAAAUUACUCCCUCCGUCUCAAUUAUUUUGUCAUGUUUCGAGAAUCCAAUAUUCUAAAAAUAGUGAUUUAAUUAUGAUGCUUGUAUUUUUUUUCUCAAUUUUACUCCCACAAAUUCAAAAUAUGAAUUUGAAUAAUAAUAUGUAUAUGCUUAAAGGGAGGAACUAUAUUGGAAGUAGAGACUAAAUAAUGUUUUAACUUUCUGAACAUUACAAAUACUUUGAGACAUUCCAAAAUGAAAAAUAUGACAUUUCUACGAAACGGAUGGAGUAAUUCGUACCGAACAAAAAGUCUAGCCAAAAUAUCCAAUACAUGAUGUGAUAGCUCAAUCUUCCUUAGGGCGUACGCUAAGGUUAGCGGAUUGUCUGCUCAACUCUCGUCAGGAUUAACUAAUCCAAAAUUUUCAGUAGGUAUUAAAACAAACAACAUAAUUUCAAAACACCGCAACCUAAAGUUAUAUACAAUUCAAGCUUAAAAUACAAGUUAAAAUAUUUAAUUUUAUACAAAUACAUAUAAGGUUUAUUAAUACAGAAGAGUUUAAACAAAAUGUCUAAGGUUUAAACCUAGCUCAACUCUUUCCCAAAAUCACCAACCCAAAUCUUUGCCCCUGAAAGGAAAACAAGGAUAACGGAAUGAGCUUUCGCCAAUGUGAUACCACAGGUUACGCAAUCAAAAAUCACAUAAUUCGAACUUUAAACUAUCAAAUAUAAGCACCAAUUAGGGAGAUAAGUAAACACCACAACUAACACAAAGUGCUUCAAAUAAAAAGAUACAGUUGGCUCUCAGGAGCCAAAUUCUCAAUCGCAUUAGUUUGAUCCAAAUCCGUUGACACUCCGUCAACGUUUACAGAAACAGAAAUAUUGACCGUAGAUCCCUGCUUUACACCAGUUUCCGUCUACCAAUCAUACCGUUACCUGGUCCAAACACCAAACAGAAACAGUGGUGGUAAUAUUCGAGUAUAUCAAAUAUCAGAAGAAUUCAAACUCUGAUACCACCUAUGACGACCCCACCUUCCCCUAGGACGUGGCCUAGAGGUUAGCGAACCACCUGCCCAACUCUUGCCAAGACUCACUCACUAACAUUAAUUUCAGAGAUCACAUUAACUCCAAAGUAAGCACGAAACUCUCUAAGAAAUGUUACAAAUCAUCCAACUUCAUAAAACAUCCAUACUUAGGUGGACAACUAAACAGAUCAAAAUACAAGUAGUUCAAUCAAAUCACUAAAUAUAAAUAGGAUGGCAUUUACUUAAAAUGAGGACUACAACUUUUCAACUCACUAUUUUUUGGAUAUCAAAUCAAUAACACCAUAAUUUUUCAAUAUAGCAUCUAUAAGCUACAAAUCGUCCAAAUACACAAAUCAAAGUACAAACCAAAAGAUAAGAACUUGAACAUCUAGUAUCAUAGUACAAUGUCAGCCAAAUACAAGUUUAAAAUUUCUAUUACAACUAGUACUAUUCUUGUCUCUUUCAUCCCCACACCCUGCUAAGGAAAACAAAUAAAGGGAUAAGGUAAAAAUCUAGUGAGGUUUCAAGUAUCAUGCAAGCAAAGUACCAAUCUUAGAGCAAGUAAGAAAAUGGUAACUAAAUAAAACAAUAACAAGCAACUAGGAAACAAGUAGCACUUUCAAAUCGAAGGAUACAUUUCCCUCAUAUUGGCUGCUUAACUCGUAAUCGUUGACAUUCCGUAAACCUUGGAAUACACUGUCAAGUCUAGUAGAUCACCACUUCACACCAUCUCCAACCACCGAUCAUCCGCCUUACCGAGCCAGCACGCCAAUCAAGUACAAGUGGGAUAAUACUCGAAUAUACCAAGGCCAAUAACAAGAUAUAAGACCCAUGGUUUAUCGGUCACCUUGACCAAAUCCUUACUGGCUCGAUUUGACCAACUAACCAAUGGGGAUGGGAUCCCAAAACAAGUAUAGUCGGUGAAAUAAUAACUCCAACCGGCUUUCAAGUCAUGCACGGAUAUAUCGGUUCACAAGUAAACAAGUCAACAAAAAUUCAAACAAGUUAGUUGAGUGCGAUAAAGUACACAUUCGCCUUUUCAAUAUCAAAUCAAGAUAUCUAGUAACAAGUCACAUAGUUCAAGUCAUGCAGUUGAAACACUCACCAAAAUAAAUGGACAAUCACAUCUCGAUUUUAGGAUUUUCUUAACUCACUACUGACUCUUGAAACACAUCCAAGCUAUAAUUACACUUAUCAUCUUGAUCAAAACAAGUAAAAAACACAGAAGAUCCAAUUUUAAAGUUAUCAAACGUGUAGGUUAAAAGGUAUAGGAUUUUGCAACCAAAUGCAUGAAUAUAAGUGUGAGGAUCAAAAACAACCUAAGAGGGGGGUGAAUUAGGUAGGUUGAAAAUUGGCCAAAUUAUGAGUCACUUUUUGAGUACUUGCCCUCUUUUUCUAAAAGACCACACAAUGGAGCAAUGAAUGAGAAAGCACAAGUGCUUAUGAGUAGAAGAGAUGAGCAAUUUAUUUAUCAAGAUAGAAAGUAAAAGAGAUAGAGUAUCAAGCCAAAUACCAAACUCCUCUUGAGUUUGAAUGUCACUUUAAAGAGCAAGCUUCUUCAAGUUGAUCAACUUACAACCAAUCUUUUGUGUACAAAGGAAGGAUCACUUCCUCCUUGCCCCAAGCCACACUUGGUCAAGCAAGGAAGUUUUACUAUUACUCGGAUAACCCUCACAGAGCUACACUUUAAAUGUUGUUCAGAAGAUUAAUGGCAAAGAAGUGGAUCUGUCCUUAAUUGGUAACCACAUUCACUGUUGGACGAUUUUGGCUUCAUUAAAAUCACACAUGUGAAGAGACCAAAUAAUGUACCUGCCCAUAUUAUGUCAAAAUUGGCUUUGUUUCUUGAAGAAAGUAGUGUUUGGUUUGUAAACUUUCCCAAGAUAGUAACUGAAGCUGCUCUUGCAGAUUUGGUACAAAUGAAUAUGUUUCUGUUGCUUCAAAAAAAAAAGAGCAAAUUUAAGGGAAAAAAAAACAACAACAACGACAAAGCAAUGGUACUUUUAUGAUUUAUCAAACGGCAAAGAAAACAAAGGUAUUAUGACCAAUCUAAUCAGCAUAAGCAGCAAUAUUGUCCAUUAUCUCUGCAACAAUCUCUUUAGACUCCCUCAGCAACUUGAUGCUUCUAUUCAAUCUGUAACGUUUAUCAGCAAUAGAUGGAGAUUCCUCCAGCAUCCGCUCCAAUCCACCCCCGUGAUGUCCUAUUAACUCAUUCACCAUUUUGGUUUCCAUGUCUUUGUUCACCAGCUUUUGGAUGCUGAAGAGUAAAUGCAAAGCCAUGCUAUCAACCAACCUCCUCAGAACAAUCUUCCAAUAAGCAAUCAUCCUCAUUUUCAGGUCAAAAGCUUGUUCUGCAACAACCAGAUGUUUUCUCAGAUGCCCGACUUCAACCUCACCAAUUCCAUUAAUCUCUAGAGUUGUUGUCUUCCAACGAUCAUUGAUAAUGUCCAUGAAUGUGUCCUGGCUUUCCAUCAGCUUAUGCCAGGUUGCAGUGUACUCAGGAUUACAAGUAUAAUCAGUGAGUUUCUCCAUUUCGAUGAUCUGCAGUACCCAAUCAAUUGACUGCUCCCUUUUUUCGGAAACAAGAUUUUGGGCAGCUCUUCUGAUUGAAGACUGAAGUUGUGGUAGUUUUCAGAGUGCUUCAUCAAGACAGGAACAAACACCCCUUGUAAAUACUCCCAAAACUGCUUCACAAAUUUAGCUGGUGUAGCAGAAAUGGCAUUGACCAUUUUUUGCAGUGAAGUGAGAAAAGCAGUGCGCUGAAGGAAAUUAGGUAAGCUUAUACCUUUAGCUUCCUCCAAGAUGCUAAUCUCUUCCUCCAAGAACUUCUGCUUUUGUUCAACUUUGAUAGAAAUGAACUGCAAAUCGUCAGAGUAAUUACUCAGCAUCUCUGCCAGUCUAGCAGUACAAUGCAUUUCUGUUUCACCAGGAUACUCAUCAAAUUCGCCUCUGAUAAAUAUUUUUCUCAGUGACUCUUUGGCUGAAGAAAUGAUACACAUAAAAGCAGCGACUGCUUCAGGAACUGAUUUUAUGUGUUGUGGCAACUUGUUCAGCUCUUCUACACUUGCAGUUAGCUUGUCAGUAAUCUUGCUCACAAUCUCCGGCAAGCAUUUUGAAAUUAUAGUUGCCUGAAUUUGCACCAAUUUCUGUGCUAAAACAGGAAUGCCAACCAUAGACUUGUUGAUCUUGGACAGCAGCGGAUGUAUUUCGAAAAGCAUAGCUUCUUCAGCUCGAGCUUCCUCGUAUGAUUCCUGGCCAAUAUGAUUUCUCACGCAGACAUAUCCAAGCCCAAUGUUCACAUCAUCAGCUGUUACCUUCUCAAGCAAGCCUUCGGGGGUUAUGUCUGCCUUCGUGACAACUGCUAGUGUUCUUUCGCCUGUUUUGUCAACUUUUUGGGACAUCCGAAUUGAUUCACAAGUCGAAAAAUCAACAGUAGCUGAUAAAACAUUGAGUAUUAUGCUUUCUUCUGGUUUAAUAUACUCCAUAAUGAUUGCUGAUAUUUGCUCGUAGAUGUCUUGAGGCUGCCCGUGAACUGGAACUCUAGUAAUCCCAGGUAAAUCCACCAUGGUAAGAUCAGGGACACCAUUCUUUUUAACAGUCAAAGUCAAGGGAACAUUUGAUAUUCCCUUUCUUUUGCCUGCAAUCUCAUCAGUUGCAACGCUGAUGGCCUCAGCAAUAUGGUCCUCAUCGGUUGGAACAACUCUUCCACUGAACUCCAAGCUCAGCUCUGGCUCGGAACUAGGAUGACUUUGCAGCCUCAUAAUCAAGGGAACCCUUGUGCAGAUCCCUUGCCCUCUAGGUAGGCUAAUGCCAGCCAGUGACUCUAGAACGCUAGACUUUCCUGAAGAUUGAUCUCCAACAACAACAAUUGUUGGAAGCUGGAUUCCUCUUGCAUGAGUUUAAGGUUUCGUAGCCUGUCUACACAGUCAAGCAAUGGCCUAAUGCGUUCAUUAUAGGAUGAUACGAUGGGGCUUGGAUUGCAAUGGUUGGAUUGCAAGUGGUCCUUCUUCAUGAUGACCAAC
rnacentral:lncRNA from 1 species